rnacentral:rRNA from 1 species
GAUGAACGCUAGCUACAGGCUUAACACAUGCAAGUCGUGGGGCAUCAUGAUGUAGUAAUACAUUGAUGGCGACCGGCGCACGGGUGAGUAACGCGUAUCCAACCUACCCUCCACUCAAGUAUAGGCUUCCGAAAGGGAGAUUAAUCCUUGAUAUCGUCAUUCUCUCUCCUGUUAGAAUGAUAAAAGGACAUCGUUUCGGUAGAGGAUGGGGAUGCGUUCCAUUAGGUAGUAGGUGGUUUAACAGGCCACCUAGCCGAUGAUGGAUAGGGGUUCUGAGAGGAAUAUCCCCCACACUGGUACUGAGAUACGGACCAGACUCCUACGGGAGGCAGCAGUGAGGAAUAUUGGUCAAUGGGCGCAAGCCUGAACCAGCCAUGUAGCGUGAAGGAUGACGGUUUUUUUGAUUGUAAAACUUUCUUUUUCUGUGCGAAUAAAA